rnacentral:rRNA from 1 species
CCUACGGGAGGCAGCAGUGAGGAAUAUUGGUCAAUGGGCGCGAGCCUGAACCAGCCAAGUCGCGUGCGGGAGGACGGCCCUACGGGUUGUAAACCUCUUUUGCCGGGGAGCAACGGGCGCCACGUGUGGCGCCACUGAGAGUACCCGGAGAAAAAGCAUCGGCUAACUCCGUGCCAGCAGCCGCGGUAAUACGGAGGAGGCGAGCGUUAUCCGGAUUUAUGGGGUUUAAAGGGUCCGUAGGCGGAUCGUUAAGUCAGUGGUCACAUUGAGGGGCUCAACCCCUUCCCGCCAUUGAAACUGGCGUUCUUGAGUGGAAGAGAGGUGUGCGGAAUGCGUGGUGUAGCGGUGAAAUGCAUAGAUAGCACGCAGAACCCCGAUGGCGAAGGCAGCAUGCCGGCUUCCGACUGACGCUGAAGCACGAAAGCGUGGGGAUCGAACAGGAUUAGAUACCCCUGUAGUC